UUCUAACGAGCUGCGAACGUCGACGGUACUCGUAACCGGUAGCUCAGCCUCGGAAAUGGCAGAGGGGGCGGUUCGUGGUCGAGGAUAGAGGAUCGUUUGGAGAAUUUAUUCACUACUGCCG